AUUGAACGCUGGCGGAAUGCUUUACACAUGCAAGUCGAACGGUAGAGGGGGCAACCCCUCGAGAGUGGCGAACGGGUGAGUAAUAUAUCGGAACGUGCCCAGUCGUGGGGGAUAACGUAGCGAAAGUUACGCUAAUACCGCAUACGAUCUAAGGAUGAAAGCGGGGGAUCGCAAGACCUCGCGCGAUUGGAGCGGCCGAUAUCAGAUUAGGUAGUUGGUGGGGUAAAGGCUCACCAAGCCAACGAUCUGUAGCUGGUCUGAGAGGACGACCAGCCCCACUGGAACUGAGACCAGGUCCCAGAUCCUACGGGAGGCAGCAGUGGGGAAUUUUGGAAAAUGGACGCAAGUCUGAUCCAGCCAUUCCGCGUGCAGGAUGAAGGCCCUCGGGUUGUAAACUGCUUUUGUACGGAACGAAAAGGUCUCUCUUAAUACGGGGGACUCAUGACGGUACCGUAAGAAUAAGCACCGGCUAACUACGUGCCAGCCGCCGCCGUAA
rnacentral:rRNA from 1 species